AUUUGCUAUCGUGUUCAACGCUUAGCCUAUCCACGCCUCCCUCAUUGCUAAACCAGGGUUUUUUUUGUUCCUUUACAUCUAUAUUCUUCCUAAACCUAAACUCAUCUCCCUCAAAUUUCUGCCGUUUCAAAAUCUUUGUUCUCUCCUUUAUUCUCAAUCUAUCAUACGUUCCUAAUCUAUCCAUUUAUUCAGCCUAAUCAUCUUCACAAGAUAUUAUAAUCUUCUCCCUCGCCGUCCAAGAAGUUCCUGAUUCUCGAUUUUUAGUCAAGGUUAAGACUACGAAUCCGAAGAAGUAUUGCGUCCGUCUCAACACCAGAGUUGUAAAAUGAGGAUCUGCUAAAUGAUUAUUUAUAACGUGUCAGUUUUCCUGAACUUGAAUUAGCCAUACAUGUUUAGAAAUAGAAUUACAUGACUGUUGACUCAAAAGCAUAUACUGUCACAACAUGAUAUAGAAACAGUAAAGAUUAUACAUACUACUAAAUCGUUACUUCAGUGAAGAUGAUUAGGUAUUUGAUGGUUAUGGUGAUGGUUUUCUACUUUUCUUCAUGUAUCAUGGUAUGUCAGGUGAUUGGUGUUGUUGAUGUGAGGGAUUACUGCGGUUUUGGAGGUUUUGAAAAUGAUGAAACAUACUGAAACCUUUGUUCAAUACUUCAAUCUGGGCACACAUUCCAUAUUUUAAAAGCUAACAAUGAAUAGACAAAACCAACUAUUUGGUAAUUCACCAUGACCUCCAACUGAUUUAAAACGAAAAAAGAAGACAUACACUGGAUGUUAGCUGUAAUGGAAAUAAUAAUUACCAGGCAAUCAGUAUCUGUAUGUAUUUGGUGCAAGCAUACGCCCGAGGAAGGUUUUAUUUGGUACGAUUUGUACGCUGAUAGAUCUCAGAUCAUGGAAACUUUAUUGUUGAUGGGGCCGAAGCAUACCAAAUGGUUAGUCGUAUCAUAAACUUCCUUUUUUAUUCUUUUAAUUAAAAUCUACAGGUUUAUAGAUAUUUUUGUAGGAAUUUUGGAUCAGACAUAUUGAUGGAUCACCUUCAAGUUAGACGCAGAGAGACAGAACAUGGUCCUGCUGCAUCUUGAAGCAGCAAUAGAGCGAGGCGUUCCCGGGAUGAUAUAUAAUAUCUUCUUUUCUAUGAGUUAACAUAAUACAAGGGGGGGAUUGAUGAUAGAGAUACGCACAAAAGACGGGUUGAAUUAUUAUUUGAUGUCCUGUAUCUUCAAUCUUUUUUUUAUGAUUGACCUCGCAAUACAAUAGUUUAUUCCAUUUGAGGGGUCAAGAGGUCGAAAAAAUCAACAUGGCACAAGCGGUGAGUAGUCCCUGGGUGUUUGAGUUUGCUGCAUACAAAAUGGGGAUGGCGGCGGUGUUACCGCGUGGUAACCCCUUCACUGUCCCGUUCACCCUUAAUCAUAUCACCUUUGUUUUUACUAUAUACAUGGUAAACUUGUAAUGCCAGUAGCCUUUGAACUUUUGAGCGUAUGCAUGAUGAAAUGUUCUUAGCACCAGGGUUGUGGAAUAGAUUAUAUAACUAUGUAAAUAUGAUACUUAACAUAAUUUUAUCUUAUUUUGAGUUGUCAUUA